AACGAACGCUGGCGGCAGGCUUAACACAUGCAAGUCGAGCGCCCCGCAAGGGGAGCGGCAGACGGGUGAGUAACGCGUGGGAAUCUACCCAUCCCUACGGAACAACUCCGGGAAACUGGAGCUAAUACCGUAUACGCCCUUCGGGGGAAAGAUUUAUCGGGGAUGGAUGAGCCCGCGUUGGAUUGGCUAGUUGGGUGGGG
rnacentral:rRNA from 1 species